AACGUAGGAGACAAACGUUAUCCGGAGUUACUGGGCGUAAAGGGCGCGUAGGCGGCCUCUGCAAGUCGACUGUGAAAUCUCCGGGCUUAACCCGGAACGGUCAGCCGAUACUGCAGGGCUAGAGUGCAGAAGGGGCAACCGAAAUUCUCGGUGUAGCGGUGAAAUGCGUAGAUAUCGAGAGGAACACCUGCGGCGAAGGCGGGUUGCUGGGCUGACACUGACGCUGAGGCGCGAAAGCUAGGGGAGCGAACGGG
rnacentral:rRNA from 1 species